UCAAAUGACUCUCGGCAAUGGAUAUCUCGGCUCUUGCAUCGAUGAAGAACGUAGUGAAAUGCGAUACUUGGUGUGAAUUGCAGAAUCUCGUGAACCAUUGAGUCUUUGAACGCAAGUUGUGCCCGGAGCCUUGUGGCCGAGGGCACGCCUGCUUGGGCGUCAUGG
rnacentral:rRNA from 2 species